AGGAAAUACUUGAAGACCCAUCGAUGCACCACUCCCUUCGUUUGCACAAAGGCAGCGCCACUUUUCCACAUGCUCUAACUGAACAUAAAUAAAUUACUCAACGCAAACGAAAGUCCUUUUCAUUCACACCACAAUCAAAAGAUAAGUUCCAUGCGGUAGACAGUCCCUUUAACCAAAGCCUCUCAUUCAACACACAAGUGUGCUUCGAUCUAACAGCUGUGCUUCAAAACAGUGCACAUAUGUGUGGGUUUAUUACAGGACUAAUUUAUU
rnacentral:lncRNA from 1 species